UACGGAGGGUGCAAGCGUUAUCCGGAUUCACUGGGUUUAAAGGGUGCGUAGGCGGACAUGUAAGUCAGUGGUGAAAUCUCCGGGCUUAACUCGGAAACUGCCAUUGAUACUAUCUGUCUUGAAUAUCCUGGAGGUAAGCGGAAUAUGUCAUGUAGCGGUGAAAUGCUUAGAUAUGACAUAGAACACCCAUUGCGAAGGCAGCUUACUACGGGAUUAUUGACACUGAGGCACGAAAGCGUGGGGAUCAAACAGG
rnacentral:rRNA from 1 species